rnacentral:rRNA from 1 species
GAUGAACGCUGGCGGCGUGCCUAAUACAUGCAAGUCGAGCGAACAGACGAGGAUCUUGCUCCUCUGACGUUAGCGGCGGACGGGUGAGUAACACGUGGAUAACCUACCUAUAAGACUGGGAUAACUUCGGGAAACCGGAGCUAAUAUCGGUUAAUAUAUUGAACCUCAUGGUUCAAUAGUGAAAGACGGUUUUGCUGUCACUUAUAGAUGUAUCCGCGCCGCAUUAGCUAGUUGGUAAGGUAACGGCUUACCAAGGCGACGAUGCGUAGCCGACCUGAGAGGGUGAUCGGCCACACUGGAACUGAGACACGGUCCAGACUCCUACGGGAGGCAGCAGUAGGGAAUCUUCCGCAAUGGGCGAAAGCCUGACGGAGCAACGCCGCGUGAGUGAUGAAGGUCUUCGGAUCGUAAAACUCUGUUAUUAGGGAAGAACAAAUGUGUAAGUAACUAUGCACGUCUUGACGGUACCUAAUCAGAAAGCCACGGCUAACUACGUG